GUGGGGAAUCUUGCGCAAUGGGCGAAAGCCUGACGCAGCCAUGCCGCGUGAAUGAUGAAGGUCUUAGGAUUGUAAAAUUCUUUCACCGGGGACGAUAAUGACGGUACCCGGAGAAGAAGCCCCGGCUAACUUCGUGCCAGCAGCCGCGGUAAUACGAAGGGGGCUAGCGUUGCUCGGAAUUACUGGGCGUAAAGGGCGCGUAGGCGGACAGUUUAGUCAGAGGUGAAAGCCCAGGGCUCAACCUUGGAAUUGCCUUUGAUACUGGCUGUCUUGAGUACGGGAGAGGUGAGUGGAACUCCGAGUGUAGAGGUGAAAUUCGUAGAUAUUCGGAAGAACACCAGUGGCGAAGGCGGCUCACUGGACUGGUAUUGACGCUGAGGUGCGAAAGCGUGGGGAGCAAACAGGAUUAGAUACCCCGGUAGUCC
rnacentral:rRNA from 1 species